rnacentral:rRNA from 1 species
AUAACAAGUAUUAGAGGCAUUGCCUGCCCAGUGACUAAAGUUAACGGCCGCGGUAUCCUGACCGUGCAAAGGUAGCAUAAUCACUUGUUCCUUAAUUAGGGACUAGAAUGAAUGGCUAAACGAGGGUUCAACUGUCUCUUACUUUCAAUCAGUGAAAUUGACCUUCCAGUGAAGAGGCUGGAAUACUACAAUAAGACGAGAAGACCCUAUGGAGCUUUAAUUUACUAGUUUAAUUUAUACAGUAACAACCUAAUGGACCAAAACAAAAUAAAUAUAAACUAAAAAUUUCGGUUGGGGUGACCUCGGAGAAUAAAAAAUCCUCCGAAUGAUUUUAACCUAGACCCACAAGUCAAAGUAAUAUUAAUAUCUUAUUGACCCAAUUAUUGAUCAACGGACCAAGUUACCCUAGGGAUAACAGCGCAAUCCUAUUUAAGAGUUCAUAUCGACAAUUAGGGUUUACGACCUCGAUGUUGGAUCAGGACAUCCCAAUGGUGCAGAAGCUAUUAAUGGUUCGUUUGUUCAACGAUUAAAGUCCUAMSU